rfam:Asian citrus Psyllid, Diaphorina citri - Florida Strain, whole genome shotgun sequence.
GCUUAGUUAGCUUGGAGGAUAUAGAGCGUCUGCUUUGUAAGCGCCAAGUCGCGGGUUCGAUUCCCGCCCGGGGCG